CAUCUGAUCUGGUUCACUCGUGAGCUUCUUGAUGAGCGUCUGCUGUUUGCUGCUCAGCAGGUCUUCUACAGGUUUCUCUUGAACAGCCUGUUGACGUCCCUCUCCAGGAUGGAGAGAGUCCUCGUUGGUGUCAGGACUGUCCCUUUGUCUUCCACUAACUCCGGAGCAUUCAUUCACAUGGGUUCAUGCACAAGUACCACACACAGUCUGGAGGUGGUGAGACAGGAGCUUAUUCAUGAGGUACAGAAGAAGAACAACACCAAGGUGACUCAAGACAAAAUGGCCAUGACAUUCUCCAUGCGGAGGCUGGAGACCGCGACCGGAAGUCCUGCGGCGGAUGACUUGGAACAGAGAUGGCCUGCUUUGUUCUCUGAAGCUGAGAGGCAGGAUUCAGAAGAAUUACGACAAUUCCCCUCGAGCGGACGUUCAUGUACGAGCUUGACUAUCACACACCACAACUUAUCAGCUUGAUGAAAGCCAAGGGUGGUGUCCUUGGGACCAAGCUGAGGCCAUGUUGGACUGAGUCAGAACCAAAGCAUUGAGAUGAAACGUGAAACUAUUAUCACAGCCUUAUCCUGUACCUUGGUGAGAAAGAGGAGGCGUUAUUUGAAGACUGCCUGGUAAGUUUUUUAAUUUAUUUAUUGUCUAAAUUCUUAUUGUAUGUUAUAUCCAGGUGGACAGCCGCAGUGAUGCAACUCAACACAUCGUGAAGAUCCUGGUUGUCCGUGGCAACGAUGGAGAAGAUCCCGUUGAGGUAUCGAUCCUCCUUGAAGGCGAGGAGAUGUUGGCGGGAUGCGGCAGCGUGCCAAAGCUUGCAUGUUGCUGAUGGGGCUUAUUUACGCCAUGAACCUCGCUUACCCACCAGCAUUGCGCUACACAUUUGAAGUUUAAAAAAAACUUCUUCUUGAACUGGAUGGGAUUAAGCCGUCUCCAAAAGUACCGGGUUUGAAGAUGAAGUUGCUGUCCUAAAUGAACACCGACUGGCAAUGUUCAGCAGCUGCUUCA